UACGGAGGAUGCGAGCGUUCUCCGGAUUUAUUGGGUUUAAAGGGUGCGCAGGCGGAUUUUUAAGUCAGCGGUCAAAUCGUGGGGCUCAACCCCAUCCAGCCGUUGAAACUGGGGAUCUAGAGUGUGCGAGAGGUAUGCGGAAUGCGUGGUGUAGCGGUGAAAUGCGUAGAUAUCAGGAGGAACACCGGCGGCGAAGGCGGCCUGCUGGACCGCGACUGACGUUGAGGCUCGAAAGCGUGGGGAGCGAACAGG
rnacentral:rRNA from 1 species